rnacentral:rRNA from 1 species
AUACGUAGGGGGCGAGCGUUGUCCGGAAUGAUUGGGCGUAAAGGGCGCGUAGGCGGCCCGGUAAGUCUGGAGUGAAAGUCCUGCUUUUAAGGUGGGAAUUGCUUUGGAUACUGUCGGGCUUGAGUGCAGGAGAGGGAAGUGGAAUUCCCAGUGUAGCGGUGAAAUGCGUAGAGAUUGGGAGGAACACCAGUGGCGAAGGCGACUUACUGGACUGUAACUGACGCUGAGGCGCGAAAGUGUGGGGAGCAAACAGGAUUAGAUACCCUGGUAGUCCACACUGUAAACGAUGAAUGCUAGGUGUAGGGGGUAUCGACCCCUUCUGUGCCGCAGUUAACACAAUAAGCAUUCCGCCUGGGGAGUACGGCCGCAAGGUUGAAACUCAAAUGAAUUGGCGGGG